UACAGAGGUGGCAAGCGUUGUUCGGAAUUACUGGGCGUAAAGGGCGCGUAGGCGGCCUUCUAAGUCGGACGUGAAAGCCCCAGGCUUAACCUGGGAACUGCGUCCGAUACUGGAAGGCUUGGAUUCGGGAGAGGGAUGUGGAAUUCCAGGUGUAGCGGUGAAAUGCGUAGAGAUCGGGAGGAAGGCCGGUGGCGAAGGCGGCGCUCUGGAACAUUUCUGACGCUGAGGCUCGAAAGCGUGGGGAGCGAACAGG
rnacentral:rRNA from 1 species